rnacentral:rRNA from 1 species
AUGGCUCUCUCAAAUCUCCAGUUAGAGGCAGGGUUCAAGUUUGAGGAGCAGAUUUGGCAAAAAAUUGGAGUGCCAGUCAACUUCCUGGAAGGUAGGAACCUCAAAGAAUUCUUCUUGGUUGCUAAAAUUUUGAGAUCUAAGAUCAGGCUCGAUGAGGAUUCUGUGGGGCUUAUUCUUCAAUCAUGCUUCGAAGGCCAUGCCUCACGUUUCAAGGUUCAAUGUUGUCAAAAUUGGACCUUAAAAUUCUCUAUUGCUUCUAAAGAUGUUGGUCUGUUCAUCUUUCAUGGAGGUAAUAUCUCAAACCAAAUUUUCAAUCUCUCUUUCUGGCUAUGGGGAGGAGGAGGACCAGAUUAUCUCACAGAAGUUGAGUUAUUUUGCCGUGAGAAAGAUGAUGAAUGGACUCAAGUUUACGGAAAAGGAAAAUCAAAAUCCUAUGCUCAAGCUGUUCAGACGCCUCGAAUUUCCAAACCUGUUCAAACUCACAUUUCAGUUUUUGAUCGUUUGCAAUUCGACGCUAAUGGAUCUCCGGCAGUUUUGGCUCAUGCGGCAGUUACUCAGAAUAAUGGCCCGGUGGGAUCAAGGGCGAGAGUUCAGGGUUUUGAUUUGAAUGCCAAAGGAAUUCUUGGGCCUAUUCCUCGCACUGGGCCGAGCAACGCCCGCUCUCAAGUCAAGUGUGCGAGAUGCCUUUUGAUGGGCCAGACUCGUGAGGCCUGCACGAAUCGCAUCAGAUGUUGGGCCUGUAAUGGCUGGGGACAUAUUGGGGCCAAGGUCAAUCAGCAGUCAAUCUCGCCAUCAUUUCGCCUUACCAACCUUGAGCUGGGCCUACCUGUCAACCACUCGGCGAUGCUUCGAACUCCAAACACCACCGCCCCUCGCCCCAGUCAAGUCACUUCUCCGCCACCUCCUCCGCCCCGCCCCGGAACUUCUGACCUCGCCGCCAUCCGCUCCGCUACUGCCGCCGCAAUGGCAAACUUUCCCUUCGACCCCCUCCCCUUCCUACCCUUUGGCUAUCAGCCUCUCCAAGUUGAAGGAAGACCAGCGCGUGUGAGGGUUGUGUGUGGACACAUCCACAGGAAGAACGAGAAUUUGGCAAUGGCGACGAUCAUUCCAAUGCCGGCAGGGGAGGUUCACUUUGCAAAUUCUUUCAGCACUUUCAUGGAAUGGGAUCAGCAGCUCAGCUCAGAUGCUGGCAUUCUAGUCAAGAUAAGGGUGGAGGAACUCCGAGAUAUCCCAUCAAGUAUCCUCCUUACAGGAUCUAAUGAAUUCAGAGGAGACUCAUGGUCUUGCCCAGUCUCAAUUUUGCAGCAACGGCUGAUUGAACAAGGGCCAGCAGAUGAAGAGCCUGUUCCCCUUGAUGGAAAUCCUCACCCAAUUCCACAGCAGCCACAUUUUCAUCCCAACCAACAUCACUUCUUUGGGCCUAUAAACCAACACCAGCAGGAAGAGAACAAUGAUGACCAGGACAACCAGGCAGAGGAGCAGAAUCAUAAUCAAGUCAAUCUGGACCUAAAUUUGGUCGAUGUUCCUGUUCAUUUGGCUCAGGACUUCCACCCCUGGGGACCACAAGAAAACAUUGACCUAAACAUUGAUCUUGAGCUGCACCAGGGGGGAUUCAUGCAAAUGCAUGACCUCAUGGAGCCUUGUGAUGAUAUGCAACAACCACAAGCAGAGCUGCCCAUCAUGGAUGAUAAUAGUGACAUUACUCUCUCUUUUGGAUCCAAUGAUUCUGAAGCAACUCAGGAUGCAGAAGAUGUGCCUCUUCAAAAUGCAGAUAAUUUCAUGGAGGAAUUUAACAGACAGCUUCUGGCAAAGGAAUUGUUUGAUGAAUUUGCAAACCCUUCUUUGGGACUAACUGUGGUAGCUAGAAGGACUUUGAUUGAUGAUGGCAUUGAGAAGGAUGUUCUUACCUCACCUGAUAAAUCUGUUCCUAAGGACAUACACAAUAUUGAGACUGUUGAAUCUGAGAAAGAACAUCUUCCAGUGCAUGUUCCAGUUGCAUAUCAUGAAGACCUGGAUAUCUCUCUGACAGAGCAAGUUGCAGUUCCUCAAGACUCUGCUACCUCAGGUAGCAUGGGCCCACCACCUGGAUAUGAUACAAAGGGUAAAUAUUUACCUGCUGCUAAAAACUCUUCUACCACUGCGCCUGAUAUCUCUGAUCCUUAUCUGCAAGCUAUAAUUCAUGGAGCAGCUACAGAUAGCAAGAUUGUCAAGUCUCCACAGGAAGAGCAUCAUUGUUUGGGAGGAGAAAGUGCAAAGCUUUGGGCUGCACAUUUUGCACCUAAAAAUGAGUCUGAUAAGGUUACCCAGGGCAUUCUAGGAGGAGAAGAUAGUGUGGAGCCCUCCUUCUCCACACCUCAAUCCAAAACUUCUUCCUCCCUUGCUCCUGUUUUGGAGGAUCAUGCCUCCACUACUAGUGCUCUUCACAGCCUGAAGAAGAGAAAAGACAGAGCACCUGUGGUAGAAACUGAGGUAAGGAGGAGUAAUAGACUGAAAGAGCAAUAUCCUCCACCUAUUGCUGGGAAAAUUGUUAAAAACGUAUCCACUUCCAUUUGCAAGGUGGAUGCUAAGGAAGUAACAGAGGAAACUCUCAACAAACAGAAAAACAAGAGAGGAACCAAGGUGGAGACUAGCAAGGAGGGACAGAAGGAGGCUCCCAAGGCCAAGGCCAUCUUCAAGCCUUGA